ensembl:lncRNA
UAUAUAUAUAUAUAUAUAUAUAUAUUUGGAUUAGAUAAUAAGAUGGGAAAUGAUUAUUUUAAUUAAUCUACUGUUCAUACAAAAGAAGAGCCUCAUUCAUCAACAUAACAAACAGUCAUGGCGUGUACAGGAAGUGUGUGGGAAAUGUAAAAAAUCUGAAUGUUAACGUUAAGAUUUAUUUAUUUAUUUAUUUAUUUAUUUAUUUAUUUUGUAUGACAAUGACAGAACCACAUCUCUCUCCAUCAUCAUCAUCAUCAUCAUCAUCAUCAUCUCCCUCGGUUGAAUUCUUCUGAAGGAAGGGGAUCAGGUUCACGUUUUGACCCAAACCCCCGUUACAUUUUUCACGAACGCUGUCCUGAGACACAGGCUGUUGUGUAGACGUACAGUAAAUCGUGUGUUUAUUAGAUAACUCGAUCGGCGCAGCAGACGAACCGGUGUAUCAGUGAUAUAGACGGUGACGGUGGAGGCGCGGUGGUAGCGUCCGGAACGCUCCAUUGUGAGCUCGGGUUACUCUCUGUCUGGAUCCGUGUGUGUGCGGAAUAAAACACGGCCUCGGGGUGCGAGUGACUGCGUGAGGGAGUGUGUGAGUAAUAAGUGUGUGUGUGUGAGUGAGUGUGUGAGUAAUAAGUGUGUGUGAGUGAGUGUGUGAGUAAUAAGUGUGUGUGUGAGUGAGUGUGUGAGUAAUAAGUGUGUGUGAGUGAGUGUGUGAGUAAUAAGUGUGUGUGAGUGAGUGUGUGAGUAAUAAGUGUGUGUGUGAGUGAGUGUGUGAGUAAUAGUUGUGUGUGUGUGUGAGUGAGUGUGUGAGUAAUAAGUGUGUGUGUGUGAGUGAGUGUGUGAGUAAUAAGUGUGUGUGUGUGUGAUUGAGUGUGUGAGUAAUAAGUGUGUGUGUGUGAGUGAGUGUGUGAGUAAUAAGUGUGUGUGUGAGUGAGUGAGUGUGUGAGUAAUAAGUGUGUGUGUGUGAGUGAGUGUGUGAGUAAUAAGUGUGUGUGUGUGAGUGAGUGUGUGAGUAAUAAGUGUGUGUGUGAGUGAGUGUGUGAGUAAUAAGUGUGUGUGUGUGUGAGUGAGUGUGUGAGUAAUAAGUCUGUGUGAGUAAUAAGUGUGUGUGUGUGAGUGAGUGUGUGAGUAAUAAGUCUGUGUGAGUAAUAAG